UACGAAGGGGGCUAGCGUUGUUCGGAAUUACUGGGCGUAAAGGGCGCGUAGGCGGCGUGUCAAGUCAGGCGUGAAAGCCCCGGGCUCAACCUGGGAACCGCGCUUGAGACUGGCAUGCUCGAGUUCGGGAGAGGAUGGUGGAAUUCCCGAGUGAUAGAGGUGAAAUUCGUAGAUAUUGGGAAGAACACCGAUGGACGAAGGCAGCCAUCUGGACCGACACUGACGCUGAGGCGCGGAAAGCGUGGGAGCAAACAGG
rnacentral:rRNA from 1 species